rnacentral:rRNA from 1 species
UGGGGAAUAUUGCACAAUGGGCGAAAGCCUGAUGCAGCGACGCCGCGUGCGGGAUGAAGGCCUUCGGGUUGUAAACCGCUUUUGAUUGGGAGCAAGCGAGAGUGAGUGUACCUUUCGAAUAAGCACCGGCUAACUACGUGCCAGCAGCCGCGGUAAUACGUAGGGUGCAAGCGUUAUCCGGAAUUAUUGGGCGUAAAGAGCUCGUAGGCGGUUUGUCGCGUCUGGUGUGAAAGUCCAUCGCUUAACGAUGGAUCUGCGCCGGGUACGGGCAGGCUAGAGUGCGACAGGGGAGACUGGAAUUCCCGGUGUAACGGUGGAAUGUGUAGAUAUCGGGAAGAACACCAAUGGCGAAGGCAGGUCUCUGGGUCGUCACUGACGCUGAGGAGCGAAAAGCGUGGGGAGCGAACAGGAUU